rnacentral:sRNA from 1 species
UGGGCUGGUCGAAAGACCCAGGUCCAACCUACUACGGCGGGCAAACUGUC